rnacentral:lncRNA from 1 species
CUCACCAGACAUUGGAACCAUGAUUUUCUAAAUAUAUGACACUAAAGAAUUGCAUUUCCAAUAUAUCUCUCUCAAAUCAUGCCAUGUAUAUUGAACAUGUCAUGGGUACAACAUGGAUACAGUUGAUUCAAUGUAGAGUUUUGCUUCGGUACACCCCUCUUAAAACGUUCAUGGCCAACUAAUUCUAUUCCCUUUUCUCCCUAUCCAUCAAACAAUCUAAUCUUUUUGAUUGAACGGGUAUAUCCUAAUCUCCAUCUUGAAUCUGCAUCGUGAUUUAUUAAAUUUUAUAGGGAGUGUGCAUUGAAGCAAAACUCUUCAAAGUAUAGCACAAAUAUCCAAGAAUCAAAAAUUGCAAAGGGUUAAAUACAAAUGGAUACCACAAAUAAUGUUAAUUGAAAGUACAAUACUCAUAAU